AUAUAGGUCUCACUUAGAGGCCUCACUAACCUGGGGAGGUUAGGCAUCCAACGGGUAGCGAUAGCUCCGUCCCUUUGGAGAGACGGUCCAGAGACCGGGCUUGUCAGACCCGGUCGGGAAACCGUCUU
rnacentral:sRNA from 12 species